UACGUAGGGUGCAAGCGUUAAUCGGAAUUACUGGGCGUAAAGCGUGCGCAGGCGGUUGUGCAAGACAGAUGUGAAAUCCCCGGGCUCAACCUGGGAAUGGCAUUUGUGACUGCACGGCUAGAGUGUGUCAGAGGGGGGUAGAAUUCCACGUGUAGCAGUGAAAUGCGUAGAUAUGUGGAGGAAUACCGAUGGCGAAGGCAGCCCCCUGGGAUAACACUGACGCUCA
rnacentral:rRNA from 1 species